AGUUGGGGCGGUCCGUAUUCCAAAGCGAGAGGUGAAAUUCUUAGACCCUCGGAAGACGAACAGCUGCGAAAGCGUUCCGCAAGGAUGUUCCCUUUGAUCAAGAACGAAAGUUGGGGGAUCGAAGACGAUCAGAUACCGUCGUAGUCUCAACUAUAAACUAUACCAGCUAGGGAUCGGCCAACGUUACUUAAUCCGACUUGGUCGGCACCUUAUGAGAAAUCAAAGCAUCUGGGUUCCGGGGGGAGUAUGGUCGCAAGGCUGAAACUUAAAGGAAUUGACGGAAGGGCACCACCAGCCGUGGAGCCUGUGGCUUAAUUUGACUCAACACGGGAAAACUUACCAGGUCCAGACAUA
rnacentral:rRNA from 1 species